ACGAACGCUGGCGGCGUGCUUAACACAUGCAAGUCGAACGGAAAGGCCCUGCUUUUGUGGGGUGCUCGAGUGGCGAACGGGUGAGUAACACGUGAGUAACCUGCCCUUGACUUUGGGAUAACAUCAGGAAACUGGGGCUACUACCGGAUAGGAGCUCCUGCUGCAUGGUGGGGGUUGGAAAGUUUCGGCGGUUGGGGAUGGACUCGCGUCUUAUCAGCUUGUUUGUGGGGUAGUGGCUUACCAAGGCUUUGCCGGGUAGCCGGCCUGAGAGGGUGACCGGCGACAUUGGGACUGAGAUACGGCCCAGACGCCUACGGGAGGCAGCAGGGGGGAAUAUUGCACAAUGGGCGGAAGCGUGAUGCAGCAACGCCGCGUGCGGGAUGACGGCCUUCGGGUUGUAAACCGCUUUCGCCUGUGACGAAGCGUGAGUGACGGUAAUGGGUAAAGAAGCACCGGCUAACUACGUG
rnacentral:rRNA from 1 species